CAGCAAAGAAAUGACUGGCCUCAUGGGACCCCAUAAAAGCAACCUGUGCAAAAUGGCAGAGCCACCGUAGAGGCAGGUACGGUGGUUCCUCAAGAAAUUAAAACGUAGGAUUGCCGCAUGACUCCGCAGUUGCCCCUGCGCACUCACAAAAUUCAAAAGUGGAGACCUGAACGCAUGUCCUGUGUGCUGGUGUUUAUAGAAGCGAUACCACGGUGAAAAGGAAGAGCCCAAGUUUACCAACUGCUGAAGGCACGCUGGGACACCUACGUUGGGGUCCUAGAACCCUGGUGAUACUCCUUCGGCGUGUAGGCGCUGUUUCUGGAUAAACCUCGCAAGCUCUCACCCAUGAUGUGCUCACCUUUUCUUCGGCUCCUCACCUCUCCUCUCCUCUCCAGCACUCUCCUCUCAGGCAUGUUGCAGAGCUCCCGCCUGCAUUACGGGUUCCUUUGAGGUUAUACAUUUCUUCACUCUACCGAGAGGUGCAUGCCGUAAUCUCAGCAGUCUGGGAAGCUGAAGCGGGAAGAUCGCACGUUCCACUCCAGCCUUAGUGAUUUAACAAGACCCUGAUUCGGAACUUUAAAAAGCGGAGGCAGGGAUGUAGUUCAGUGUGGAGGCCCUGGGUUUAAUUCCCAGUUUUAAAAAAUGGAAAUAAAUAAAUAAAUAGAGUAAACGCAGAC
rnacentral:lncRNA from 1 species